rnacentral:rRNA from 1 species
CCUACGGGAGGCAGCAGUGGGGAAUAUUGGACAAUGGGCGAAAGCCUGAUCCAGCAAUGCCGCGUGAGUGAUGAAGGCCUUAGGGUUGUAAAGCUCUUUUACCAGGGAUGAUAAUGACAGUACCUGGAGAAUAAGCUCCGGCUAACUCCGUGCCAGCAGCCGCGGUAAUACGGAGGGAGCUAGCGUUGUUCGGAAUUACUGGGCGUAAAGCGUACGUAGGCGGUUAUUCAAGUCAGAGGUGAAAGCCUGGAGCUCAACUCCAGAACUGCCUUUGAAACUAGAUAGCUAGAAUCUUGGAGAGGUGAGUGGAAUUCCGAGUGUAGAGGUGAAAUUCGUAGAUAUUCGGAAGAACACCAGUGGCGAAGGCGACUCACUGGACAAGUAUUGACGCUGAGGUACGAAAGCGUGGGGAGCAAACAGGAUUAGAUACCCUGGUAGUCCACGCCGUAAACGAUGAUAACUAGCUGUUCGGGCUCUACGAGCUUGAGUGGCGCNGCUACGACAUAAGUUAUCCGUCCGUCGGGAGGUACGGUCGCGAGAAUUAAACUAACAAUAGAAGUUAGUACGGCGUGAGACGUCGCCGACGGACGACGACGAGGGAGGAGG